CAGCCCUUGACAUGCCAAGCUACCUGCAGAGAUGCAGGGUUCCCUUCGGGGACUUGGACACAGGUGCUGCAUGGCUGUCGUCAGCUCGUGUCGUGAGAUGUUGGGUUAAGUCCCGCAACGAGCGCAACCCUCGCCCUUAGUUGCCAGCAUUUAGUUGGGCACUCUAAGGGGACUGCCGGUGAUAAGCCGAGAGGAAGGUGGGGAUGACGUCAAGUCCUCAUGGCCCUUACGGGCUGGGCUACACACGUGCUACAAUGGUGGUGACAGUGGGCAGCGAGACAGCGAUGUCGAGCUAAUCUCCAAAAGCCACCUCAGUUCGGAUUGCACUCUACAACUCGAGUGCAUGAAGUUGGAAUCGCUAGUAAUCGCGGAUCAGCAUGCCGCGGUGAAUACGUUCCC
rnacentral:rRNA from 1 species